GAAAAGCGCAGGCUGUUCGCAAACAGGCGUCCUCUGCCUGCCUCCGGGAUGUACGUGCGGGGCCCAGGAGCAUUUGAGGAAUUUAUCCUACGGAUACCAAACCCUUAACCCCCAACCUCCCCCAAAAUAGAAAAAUAAUAAUAACAUGCUGAGGAAGAGAAGACAAUAGCCAACGAGUUGUCCUGAAAUUCAUAAAUAACUUAAAGAUGCACUGAAUGAAAAGAAAGAAGGGGGGCUUCCCUAGUGGCGCAGUGUUUGGGAGUCUGCCUGCCGAUGCAGGGGACAUGGGUUCGUGCCUCGGUCUGGGAAGAUCCCACGUUCUGCAGAGCGGCUAGGCCCAUGAGCCAUGGCCGCUGAGCCUGCACGUCCGGAGCCUGGGCUCCGCAACGGGAGAGGCCACAACAGUGAGAGGCCCGCAUACCACAAAAAAAAAAAAAAAGGAGUAUAUACUGUAUAAAAGUUGGUUUAAAAGAAAGCGCAAAACCUCUUCCAUGCUCCCAAAUAAUCCUUGUGCUUCCCAAUUUAUAAGUACUCAAUACUACACUGUCAGUAUGUGUUUGCUUGUAUGUCUCCCCUAUCAGAUUGUAAAUGUUUGAUUCAUCUCUGUGUGCCCACAACCAGUCUCAGCAAAGAGUACACCUCAGGGGAUGUUAAGCUGAACAAAGCUGUGGCUUAGUGUGAUGUGCAUCAGGCUAGUCCAUCCCACCCACUCAGUUACUUUUUAGGCCUUACCUGUUAACUUCCAGGGUCCACCAAAGAGUAAGAUGCCCCUUCAACAGGCGGUUGCCCUGCAGCCCAGAAUUGACCCCAGCCUGCCGCUGCCAGCUAUGGUCUCCCCCACCCCUCUGACUAAUCAUAGCCAGGAAUCAAACCCAAAAUUCACAGUUACCUGUUACCAAACAGGAGAGCCCUAGAGCAAGCCAGAAGUCAGUAAAGCAACACAAACUUAGAAAGGAAAUUGGGGAUGUUUGGGAGUUUGUUAGGUCACUUGAGUCAUUUCAAAAGGAACAAAACAAUUCACAUUUUAGGAAUGAAGCAUAAGGAAGUAAUCAAAUAUAUGAAGAAAGAUAUGUGCAAAAAGAUGUUUAUUAUAUAUUUUACUAUAGAUUUAUAACAUAAAAA